rnacentral:rRNA from 1 species
UUCCUACGGGGGGCAGCAGUCGAGAAUCAUUCACAAUGGGGGAAACCCUGAUGGAGCAACGCCGCGUGAGUGAAGAAGGGUUUCGGCUCGUAAAGCUCUGUUGGUAGUGAAGAAAGAUAGAGGUAGUAACUGGCCUUUAUUUGACGGUAAUUACUUAGAAAGUCACGGCUAACUACGUGCCAGCAGCCGCGGUAAUACGUAGGUGGCAAGCGUUGUCCGGAUUUAUUGGGCGUAAAGCGAGUGCAGGCGGGUCAA